GGUUCCAUGGUGUAAUGGUAGCACGCUUGGGCUAUUGUCCCAGUAGAGGGGGUUCGAUUCCUUCUGGAACCG